rnacentral:rRNA from 1 species
CUAAGCAUAUCAAUAAGCGGAGGAAAAGAAACCAACAGGGAUUGCCCUAGUAACGGCGAGUGAAGCGGCAAUAGCUCAAAUUUGAAAUCUGGCUCUUUUAGGGUCCGAGUUGUAAUUUGCAGAGGGCGCUUUGGUAUUGGCAGCGGUCCAAGUUCUUUGGAACAGGACGUCACAGAGGGUGAGAAUCCCGUACGUGGUCGCUAGCCUUUACCGUGUAAAGCCCCUUCGACGAGUCGAGUUGUUUGGGAAUGCAGCUCUAAAUGGGAGGUAAAUUUCUUCUAAAGCUAAAUACUGGCCAGAGACCGAUAGCGCACAAGUAGAGUGAUCGAAAGAUGAAAAGCACUUUGGAAAGAGAGUCAAAUAGCACGUGAAAUUGUUGAAAGGGAAGCGCUUGCAGCCAGACUUGCCUGUAGUUGCUUAUCCGGACUUUUGUCCGGUGCACUCUUCUGCGGGCAGGCCAGCAUCAGUUUGGGCGGUUGGAUAAAGGUCUCUGUCAUGUACCUCUCUUCGGGGAGGCCUUAUAGGGGAGACGACAUGCAACCAGCCUGGACUGAGGUCCGCGCAUCUGCUAGGAUGCUGGCGUAAUGGCUGUAAGCGGCCCGUCUUGAAACACGGACCAAGGAGUCUAACAUCUAUGCGAGUGUUUGGGUGUCAAGCCCAGACGCGUAAUGAAAGUGAACGGAGGUGGGAACCCUUUGGGUGCACCAUCGACCGAUCCUGAUGUCUUCGGAAGGAUUUGAGUAAGAGCAUGGCUGUUGGGACCCGAAAGAUGGUGAACUAUGCUUGAAUAGGGUGAAGCCAGAGGAAACUCUGGUGGAGGCUCGCAGCGGUUCUGACGUGCAAAUCGAUCGUCAAAUUUGGGCAUAGGGGCGAAAG